AGCUAAUACAGGAACAGUAAACCACAAGUGAAACUGCUAGAUGACACUAAGAGUAGUAAUAAUGUUCAUUUUCUGAUGUCAGAAAGAUGGAAAAAGGAAGUACACACUUCUGCAAUUGAAUUGAACUAAAGCAACUCAAUGAUGCUGGCUUUGGUUGAAAUGAUGAGUCUGGCCACUAACAGAGUUUCCUUACAAGCAGGCCAUGGCCGAAAGGAGAUCAACAGACAAGAUGCCAAAAUCAUCAGCAGGACCUGCCAUUGGAUUCCUUUGAAUCUUUUCUGCAAACCUGAACCGCAGAUAAACUUCCACACUUGCUUUGCCUUGAUGACACUGGGGAGAUGGCCCUGCUGAGAAAAUGCAACAACCAGCAGAACUGGAAUCACUGCACAUUCAUAAUCACAGCCCUCAGCACAGCCCUGCAAACCUGCUCAGCUUCUCCAGAAAGCUUGCUCUCAUUCUCUGCAACUUCAUGCCUUUUCCCUUCUCUAAGGAGGAGACGCACACUCCCACACACCCUCCACCCACUCUCAGUGAUGAAUCAUGUAUAAGGCUGUGGCGAGAAAGCUGAAAACAUCAGUGAAGAAGCACUGUUGAUCCCCACCACCAAAUGCACACACUGCCCGUGUUUACACCUGAAGACAAACCAGUAUAAACUUCCUCCCUGAUGAAAAGGGAGCAACAGCUCGUCUUAUGUCAAAAAUUGAUCAUAGGUACCCCGAAGGCCAUAGCUACCUCCUUACCUGCCUCUUUGUUCCCUUCCUUCCUUCCUUCUUCUCCUCCUCCCUCUUCCAAAUAACUUUUCUUCUCAGUAGGACAGUCCAGUAGAAGCUUCCUCACCACACAAGUCUCUACUCCAGCACACAGUUGACUCUGGGUAUCCAUGAAUACGGAGGGCUGGCUGCACUACAUCAUUUUAUUUGAGAGAUCUGGGCAUCCAUGGAUGGUCUCCAUGGGGUCCAGGAACUGAUUCUUUUGGAUACUGAAGGACAGCUGUGUAGACAUCUUGCAUUGCUCUCCAAACCCUCCCCUACCCUGGCCUGCACCCCCUGCACCCUGCCGUGGCAUUUCCAUCAGAAGACAGUUGUCAAAGGGCUAUUCACACUUCCAUCACCCUGUUAGGCUGACUGUAUUUAUUAGGAGUAGAGAAAGCUCCCUAGUGGGUUGAAAGGACUAAAGAAAUGGCUAGAGGACUGCUUGUGUUGGAAUCUUUGUAUAGAGGCUCAGGAAUCUCCAUAUACAAUGAGAACUCCAGGUCACUCCCAGCUCCCAGGGUAAAAACAGAAAUUCCUUUCUCUAAUGGGUUGCAAGCAGCUUUAAAGUCAUCAAACUUUGGUGGUCACGAGGGGUUGGGGACAGGGUAGGGGUUGGGCGGAAUAGGGGAUAACUGCUUAAAGUGUAUGGAAGUUUUCUUUUGAGAAAUGAUGAGACUAUUUUGGAACCAGAGGUGGCAAUUGCAUAACAUUGCGAAUGCACUAAAUACCAUGGAAUUGUAAGUUUUACAAUGCUAAAUUUAUAUUAUGUAAAUUUCACCGCAAUUUAAAACACUUACUGAGAAAAGAAAAAACAAACCUUAUUUAAUCCCUCUCAAGCAGAAAAUACUUAAAAUAUUUUUGAUGGGCUGCUCAUCAGGGAAAAAAUUAUAAUAAUUAUGAGGGGGGUCUUUAUAUAGGUGAAUAGUUUAGAAGAAUUUUGAUCAACAAAAUGUUGGAUCACAAGGAUUCAAUAAUAUAAACUUUAUUUGUAUG